rnacentral:lncRNA from 1 species
ACCUCUCUCUCUCUCUCUCUCUCUCUCUCUCUCUCUCUCUCUCUCUCCCCCCCCCCCCCCCUCCCUCUCCCUUCUCAACCUUCACCCCAAUCUCGAUUUACCCGAUGAGGCCCGUUAACAUGUGGAUUAAGGCUUGGCGGGGGGAUCCAACUCUGAUCAAGAUUAUAGUGAGUUUGGUGUCCAGAUCCACCUUCACAUAUAAAUAGCACAAUAACGUUUAGUGGGCAUAACAUUUCACUCUAGAACAAUCAAGAUUUUUACAAAAAAUUUAAAGGAGUACAAACACAGUGCAUUAUAAAACAAAAUUCAUAUCUGUAACAUUGAGCCGAUUCAUCAUUUAAAUAUGAGAAACAUAUUUAUACAUGCCGUUGAAGCUUCAUUAAAUUCAAAUUAUGCAGAAAAAACUAAUUGAUUUCAGAAUAAAUUUCAGUAAUGAAGGCUAGCUAAGCCUACGCUCCGGGUUGUCAAACGCAGCGCAUGGACACGGGUGUAAAACCCAGUGCCAGGUCGUUGAAUAAUGAGAAGACACGUUCGCCGUGGUAGCCGUGAUCUAAAUGUGCAUAGUCUAUGAGUAACGGAGAUAGAAGCCCAUGCAAUUUGCAGCGUGGGUACGCUCAUCAACGCAUAUUCUGACGGAUCCAUACAAAAGUGGGAGCCUUCAGCCGAAAUAGCCUUCGGCUGGAGAGAAAAUCAUCAGAGUCUGAGCUCUAUCCUAGAAACGAAAUUGAGAAACAAGAAUAUAACUGCAGCGAAACCAAAUCAAGUAGCUCAGAUCCAAUAACCAGCUUUCGAUUUUGUGUCUGGUUUCAUUAAACAAUUUAGAACGGGACCUCAAGACCCUUUCGUUCCCCUUUUACUUAUUUAUUUCUUUCCUAAUCAAAGUGAUGAGGACGUAACCCUGACGAGAUCGAUAGGCUCCUCUUGAUGUGUCACCAAAACAUCAAUAAGAAACAGGCCUUCGACGGAAAUGACUAGAAAAAUCUACAGCGACGAACACUAAUGAAUCCAUUGGCUAUCUCAAUUUUAGAUGAUGACAUCAAUGCACAUAUGUAGUUUCCAACAGACCCAAAAGGCUGUACGAACAACAUUACAACUCAGAUCUUAUCCAGAAGAGCAACGAACAGCUUUCACUAAACCCAAACCCCAUGCCAGAGUCCUUGAGCUUGCGCCGAAAAUUUAGAGAGCGAGAGAGAGAGAGAGAGAGAUAGGCAGACCUUCCGAGAUUGUCUGGCGUUCCAGACCGGACGCAGGCGGCAAGACGACACAGAAAUGUGAAAGAAGGGGUCACCUAGGGCUUGUGCAGGAGAGACGGCCGCCUCUAAACGCUUCGGAACCCCGGUUCCCCAGCGUCAACUGUCACGUGCCAUGCGCAUUCCC